UACGUAGGGGGCAAGCGUUGUCCGGAAUUAUUGGGCGUAAAGAGCGUGUAGGCGGUCCGGUAAGUCCGCUGUGAAAGUCCAGGGCUCAACCCUGGAAUGCCGGUGGAUACUGCCGGGCUAGAGUGCGGGAGGGCGAGUGGAAUUCCUGGUGUAGCGGUGAAAUGCGUAGAUAGUCUGGAGGAACACCGGUGGCGAAGGCGGCAUCCUGGACCGACACUGACGCUGAGGAGCGAAGCCAGGGAGCAACGG
rnacentral:rRNA from 1 species